AGUGAACGCUGGCGGCAGGCCUAAUACAUGCAAGUCGAACGGCAGCACAGUGGAGCUUGCUCCAUGGGUGGCGAGUGGCGGACGGGUGAGGAAUACAUGGGAAUCUGCCCAGUCGUGGGGGAUAACGUAGGGAAACUUACGCUAAUACCGCAUGCGCCCUUCGGGGGAAAGCCGGGGACCUUCGGGCCUGGCGCGAUUGGAUGAGCCCAUGUUCGAUUAGCUAGUUGGCGGGGUAAAGGCCCACCAAGGCGACGAUCGAUAGCUGGUCUGAGAGGAUGAUCAGCCACACUGGGACUGAGACACGGCCCAGACUCCUACGGGAGGUAGCAGUAGGGAAUAUUGGACAAUGGGCGCAAGCCUGAUCCAGCCAUGCCGCGUGAGUGAAGAAGGCCCUCGGGUUUUAAAGCUCUUUUGUCCGGGAAGAAAAGCAUCGGGCUAAUACCUCGGUGUUCUGACGGUACCGGAAGAAUAAGCACCGGCUAACUUCGUG
rnacentral:rRNA from 1 species